GGGGCUCCGUGGGUCGCUCCAACCCCUGUGACAUACCACUUGUUGCCUCGGCGGAUCAGCCCGCUCCCGGUAAAACGGGACGGCCCGCCAGAGGACCCCUAAACUCUGUUUCUAUAUGUAACUUCUGAGUAAAACCAUAAAUAAAUCAAAACUUUCAACAACGGAUCUCUUGGUUCUGGCAUCGAUGAAGAACGCAGCAAAAUGCGAUAAGUAAUGUGAAUUGCAGAAUUCAGUGAAUCAUCGAAUCUUUGAACGCACAUUGCGCCCGCCAGUAUUCUGGCGGGCAUGCCUGUUCGAGCGUCAUUUCAACCCUCAAGCACAGCUUGGUGUUGGGACUCGCGUUAAUUCGCGUUCCUCAAAUUGAUUGGCGGUCACGUCGAGCUUCCAUAGCGUAGUAGUAAAACCCUCGUUACUGGUAAUCGUCGCGGCCACGCCGUUAAACCCCAACUUCUGAAUGUUGACCUCGGAUCAGGUAGGAAUACCCGCUGAACUUAAGCAUAUCAAAAGGCGGAGGAGACUUAAUUUCCAAUUUAAAACUCCUAACCGCUAAAUUACAUUGUUGCCGCUAAAAUCCCGCUCCGGUAAAAAGGGAGGCCGCGAGGACCCUAAAUCGUUUUCUAUAUGUACCUUCGGAGAAAAACCAUAAAAUAAAUCAAAACUUUCAACAAGGUAUCUCUUUGGUUCUGGCAUCGAUGAAAGAAAGCAGCAAAAAUGGCGAUAAGUAAUGUGAAUUGCAGAAAAUCGAGAAAUCAUCAAAUCAUUUGAACGCAAAUUGUGUCGGCGCCAAUACAGGUGUGGGUGCCGGUUCAAGCGGGGUUUCAACCCAGAAGGGUGGGG
rnacentral:rRNA from 1 species